rnacentral:rRNA from 1 species
AGCAGCCGCGGUAAUUCCAGCUCCAAUAGCGUAUAUUAAAGUUGCUGCAGUUAAAAAGCUCGUAGUUGAAUUUCGGGACCGAUAUAUCGGUCGUGCCUCGGUACGUACUGGUAUUUUCGGUUUCUACCUUCUGACGAACCUUGAUGUCAUUAAUUUGGUGUCUUGGGGAAUCAGGACUGUUACUUUGAAAAAAUUAGAGUGUUUAAAGCAGGCUCACGCUUGAAUACAUUAGCAUGGAAUAAUGAAAUAGGACGUUUGAUUCUAUUUUGUUGGUUUCUAGGAUCGACGUAAUGAUUAAUAGGGAUAGUUGGGGGCAUUAGUAUUCAAUUGUCAGAGGUGAAAUUCUUGGAUUUAUUGAAGACUAACUACUGCGAAAGCAUUUGCCAAGGAUGUUUUCAUUAAUCAAGAACGAAAGUUAGGGGAUCGAAGACGAUCAGAUACCGUCGUAGUCUUAACCAUAAACUAUGCCGACUAGGGAUCGGAUGAUGUUAAUUUUUUAAUGACUCAUUCGGCGCCUUACG